CCGCCCGUCACGUCAUGGAAGUGGAUGGUACCAGAAGCGGGUAGCUUAACUGCAAAGAGGGCGCUUGCCACGGUAUGAUUCAUGACUGGGACG
rnacentral:rRNA from 1 species